rnacentral:rRNA from 1 species
GAUCACCAACACGUUUCGGGCACAUAAGUUGUGGAUCUCAUCAAAACUCCACAGUUAAACGUCCUUAUGUGGGAGUGGUAAUAUUAUGGGUAACCUCGUGGAAAGUCUCCACUAUGAUAACCA